UCUGGCAUCGUAGCAUCUAGAUUCCUGUCC
rnacentral:piRNA from 1 species